UCCUACAAACCAGCAAUUCUACCUUGAGGUUUAUACUUCAGAGAAUUUCUUGCACCUGUCUAUAAGAAGAAAAUGGAUAAACUAUACUGUAGGCAUACUACAGAAUACCAUAUAGCAAUGAAAAGAAAUUAACUGGCUCAGACUAUGUAGAUCUACAUGAAUAGUUAUCAAAAAAAAAAAAAGGUUAAGUGAAAAAAAAUCAAGUUAAAGAAUGAUGGGUACAUCAUGCUGUCACUGAAACCAAAUGGGGUCUGUUUGCCCAUGUGCAGUGGAAAGCCAACACCGAAGCACUGGGUUUUUGCUGUGAGAAAGGUUAAUCGCAAGUCCACUGGCCACAUGAGAGGAGGAAAUGCUCAAAUGUCUCCCUGAGCUGGGGGUGGGUCAGAUUUUAAAAUGGGUAAUAAGGCAUGAUCUGAUUGGAUCUGGCAGUGAGGUGAGGCCAGGACGCAUGCUCUGGCUGGAUCCUGCCAUGCUGUGUCUGCUGCUUCUUAAUUCAGUCCUGCUCCUUCAUCCCAGCACUUAGGUUCCCCUUGUGGUUGCACAUUUGGUUCAUCUGGGCAUGCUCAGAUUAUGUGCCCUUUAACCUGGGGGUCCAUGGCAACUGAAAAACAACUCACAACUUUGUCACAUAAAAGUUGAACCAGUUGGUCUGAUGUGCUUACAAUGUCAUUCAUAGACAAGAAUUAACAUACAUGUAAAUACCACAUAUUUCCCUGGUUUUAUAGGCGUGUGUGUACAUACAUAUAAAAGGAAAAAGUGGAAAUGGAAGAUUGCACACUAAAUUCAUGACAGUGGUUACAUCUAUGAGGCAGGGAGGGUUGUGAAUUAUAGGUAAGGAUGCUCAAUAAAGGGAAUUUGACUAUAAUUCUAUUAGUUUUCUUAAAAAAUGAAACAAAUACAAAAAUGAUAACAACUGUCAAUUCUGGGUUGAUGAUAUUUGCAUCUUUGUCUUAUUUUUUUUUUCUGUAAUUUAAAAGUUUACCAAACUUAAAAUUAUAAUUAAAACAAAAGCAGACAACUCCAAUCUAACCAUGAGAAAAAUAUCAGAAAAAUAUCCGUUUAAGGAAAGUCUACAAAACACUUGUCGAGGUCAAGAAAGACAAGAAAAGACUGAGAAACUGUCACAGCCAAGAUAGGCCUAAGGAGACAUGGUAAUUAAAUAUAAUAUAUCUUGGAUCCGAUCUUGGAAUAGAAAAAGAGCAAUGAAUAAUAAUUAAGGAAAUCUGAAUGAGGUAUGGAUUUUUGAUAACAGUAACAUAUAAAUAUUAGUACAUUAACUGUUACAAAGGCAGUGUACUAAUAUAAGACAAUAAUAGGGAAAACUGGGUGUAGGGUAUAUGUGAACACUUUGUCCUAUCUUGGCAACUUUUCUUUAAAUCUAAAAUUAUUGUAAGAUAAAAAAGUAUGUAAAAAACGGAAUAGGUAUAGUAUUCUUCCAGUUUCGUGUGAGUGUGUGUGAGUGUACACAAAAAGACAAGCAGAAUAUUUAUCAAAAAUAUCAAUGAUUAGGUCUACAUGGUGGAAGUAUGGGUAGCUUUCCUUUCUCUUUCAUUCUUUUAUUUUUCAAAUUCCUGCCUUCUAAUAUAAGUCAAAUGUGAUAUACUGAUAGUUUUAGCUAUCAGAAACAUUAUCAAGACCUUGGCACCGUUUCUAUCAGCACAUGGUAAUUAUGGGCCCCAUUCUCCUAACACUCACUUCCUAUAUUUGCCCGGGAUGCUUGCUAAAACUGAGUUCUAUACUAAGAAUUUCCAGGGAAGAAACUUGAGAAUUUAUUUUUUAACAAGUCCCUAGGUGAUUUUUGUGUGUGUUUGUGUCUGGUGGCUGUUCAGAUAAGUUUAGGAAACUGACUCAGCUAAUUCUCACUUAAAGCUCAGCUCAGUGUCAGCUCUGCUGUCAAAACUUCUCUGUCCAUCUCAGGCACUUAGAAUCUCCCUUCCCUGUAUCCUCCCUGUACCACACACACAACUCCAUUCCUGCCCUUCUAACAGUGCAGCAUAGUUUUUUCUACAUUUUUCUCUCUGGCUGUUUUGCAUAUCUUUGUGAUCUCAUCGAACAAUAGCAUCUGGUAGGCCCUCAAUAUCCAUUAUUUAGAUAAAUGCAUGGAAGCUUAGAUAGUCAGAUGGGCUGCUUUUAAAUAAAUGGGGUGAUUCUAAGAAUUUCAUCAGCAUCUAUCUUCAAGCCCCUCAAUAAUGGCAUCCCUGGUUGCUUUACAAUAGGUGGGAUCAGCCUCUUUUAUUAUCUCUUUAGAAGGAAGCAUGGGAAUAUUCAAUUUAUUCCAAAAUAUAUUGCUUUACGCUUGGAUAAUGGUCAGAAAAACUGGAAGUAUGAAUAUAUAUUUGAAUCAUCUGGGAAUCUAUUGAAACCCAAACUUGCAUUUGAUGAGUAGUGCUUACCCUGGGCCAGGCCACUCAGUGCUUGAGCUGUGCUAUCUAAGAUGGAGGCUCUAAUCACAUGUGGCCUUUGAAGGCUACAUUUAAAGUAAUUGAAAUCAAUCCAGUUCCUCAGUCAUACAUUUCAAGUACUCAAAGGCCACACGUAGCAGCCACUGUAUUGGAAAGUGAAGACAUAGAACAUUUCCAUCAUCACAGAAAGUUCUAUAGGAGAGUGCUGACCUAGAUGAUUCCUCUUUAUACUUCGAAUCAGAUAGUUCUCUUAUUUAAGGCUUCCCUCAUCCCUCCAAGCCAUAUUCUGUUUGGUUCGCAGUGACAGAAAUGUCCUGGGCACCAGGGAUUCAGAGAUGAAGAAAAUGUCAUUGCUGCCCUGGAACAGCUUAAAGCAGGGACUCUCAACUGGGGCGAUUUUGCUGCCUAGGGGACAUUUGGCAGAGACUUUGUAUUGCCAUUAAUAGUGUGGGGGGUAUGUGUGUGUCUGUGUUCAUGUGUGUGUUGUGUGUGUCUGUGUCAUAUGUGUGUAUGUGUGUGUGUGUAUUACUGGCAGACAGAGGGCAGCGAUCCUGGGUAGAGGGCAGAGAUGAUGCUAAGCAUUCUACAACGCACAAGACGGCUCCCCCUCCCUACCAUCAAAAAUUUGGCCCAAAAUGUCAAUAAUGCCAAAGCUGAGAAACCCUGGCUUGAAGCCUUGUUGGGGAGAGAGACACAGGAGCACAAAGUACCAAUGUCAUGUGGAAAGUGAGCAGAGAGUGGUAGAGCACAGCCGUCGGACUGGGAGGAUUCCCAAGCUGAGUCUGGAAGGAGCUGCAUGCCUAGUCAUUCCUUCUAUGAUCUAAUAAUGCUUUGCCCAUUCCCCUCUGCAACACCUAACACUGUGAUGUAUUUUAACCAUCAGUUUACACAUACUUCUCUCCUGUGAGACUGUGAAUUCUUCAAAAGCAGGUACUGUGUUUAAUGAAGUGUGCCCAGGACUUUGCUCAGUGACUGGAUGACACAGUAGGAGUAACAAGAAAGUUCACAUGGGUGAACCGUGGUAGGUGGACAUCGUCUCUCUCACCUCUUCCCAAAUCAAGGAUGAAGUACAUCUUCAUAAAUCCUCAUGUGAAUUAUUUUGCUACCUCUAGAAGCAUUUUCUAAAACAAGGUGCAGCAAUCAGUUGAGUGAAUUUGUCACCAGAGCUUAUGUUUUCUGAAAGAACCCUAUCCUCAGGCAGUUGUUCCUAAGAGGUGAGUUGUGGAUUUAGUUCACAUACCUUCCUUCGUGGCUUAAAAUGCUCCACAUGCCUGUCUCCCCAACAGCAUCAGAUCACCAUGCAGUAAAAUACCAAGUCAGAACAGCCAAUGCUGAAAAGAGUGACAGUUUCCUUUCAUGAUGCAAUGCACUUGGAGCCAGGGGACAGGGAGACAAUAACUGCAAGGAGAAGUGAUGACAACCCUACUUUAAUAUAGUAGUUCCUUUUGAAUUUUAUAGACUUACCCGUUAAUCUCUAGAAUUUUGAAAAAAUUCCUUAAGUGAUGUGAGCAAAUAACACUUUGCCUUGGGUUAGCCUUUUCCUUUCCCUUGAAGAUUCCACAAAUAUGUCAGCGCUGGAAAUGAUCCUUUGGCUUUGAACUAUGUGAAGACUGCAGAAGGACUGGUUGGUAAGCACCCACAUCCUGGGGUGAGAAUCACAUCCAGUUUAUACCUCCCUGUGCACACUUGUAUAAAACAACUAUAAGACACACGAGAGAUCUGGAAGCCAGUUCCUCAUAAGUAAGAAUUGGUCAGGCUGCAUUUGUAUCCUGGGUCCACAAGACAUCGUUUCCUUAAAACCAAUCCCCCUGAUUUUGCUAAGUGUCUGCAAGCCUAAUAUUUCAUGGAUGUUUGACAAGGACCCCGUCUUUAGCUGAACUAAGGAGAAAGUCCUGCAACACACACAUGGAGCUCAGCAAACGGAGGAUGUAGUAGAUGAAGAAACUGAGGUCCAGAGAAGUUAAACGACCUUCCUAAGAUUACACAGCUUAGUAAGUGGCAGAACCACAGCUGGAAGCCAGGUCCUUCCUCACGCAAGUCCUGGCUCAUUCAUUCCUCUUCCAAAGACUUGCUGAGCACCUUCUAGGUGCCAGAUGCGGUGCUGGCUCCUGGGGACAUGGGAGUGAACAGGCCAGGCGUGGCCCUGAACCAUCAAAUAGACAACCACAGAAAUAACAACGAAUGAUGCUGGAGGCUGACGAAGAUAAGGGUGGAAAGUGGGCAAUAAAUCAGGAGCUGUUGCAACAUUCCCAGCAAAGGAUAAUGGUGAAUAACAAAGACAAAACCGGGCCCUUCCACACAGUAGCUGGAACACAAAGGAAGAUCAGCCAAGCCUCAACAUAAUCUCAUAAAAAUUCUUCAAAUAUCCCAUUGUUAUGGAUUCAUACAUCAGGAAAGCAGAUGCCAAGAACCUGAACACCUUCUACUGGUAACAUAUAUUUUGGCGAGCCAGCCUGGAGACAAGACCACUAUGGGCAACUUCCUGUCUAUUCUACCUGGUGUCACUGUGGACAACUUCCUAUCUAUUCCACCCGAUUCACCGCUUGGCUACAUCCUCCACCAUUGGGAUGAAUUUGACCCUAACAAUCUAAAGAAAAGGCAUAUGAUUUUUUACUGCAAUAUUGUUUGACACAAUUAUGAGCUGCCCAAUCCGGAACAAUGGGCAGUCAAUGGUAGCCUUAAUUAUGAUACCAUCCUGUAUCUAGACCUAUUUUACAAGAGGCAGGGCAAAUGGUCAGAAGUCCCACAUAUACAGGCCUACAUGACCCUAUACGAAGACCUAAGAAUCUAGGAAACUCCCAGAACCCAUCCCCCGAAGGAAAGUUCUGGGGCAGAACUAGAUAUUAUAGAUGAACCCCCUUUUACAAGGGAUACCUGUCUCUCAGAGUGAGCAGUGACUGUCCCCAUAUAACCCCUCACCAAGUGCUCCUGAGGCUGAAACCCAGGGGCAAACAUGGGGAACCCUACUAAGUCCCCCUCACACUUGGAGGGGAACACUGUAUUCAACUCUCUAUCCAGCCCUGCUACUCUCAGAGAAAUAGCAGGGGCUGAGGGGCCAAUCCUAGUGUGGGUCCCCUUCUCUAUGAUUGAUAUACAACAAUGUAAGGAAAAGCUAGGAAGCUAUUCUGAGGAUUCCGGGAAGUUUGCAGAUGGGUUCCAAACUUUGACCUUAGCCUUUGAUCUCUCAUGGAGAGACGUUCAAUUCACUCUAGCAACCUGUUGCACCUCCUCGGAAAAGGAACGAAUCUUUGAGGCUGCCCUCCGAGAAGUGGACGAAUUAUUCACCCAAAACCGUAAAGGCAGUCACCCAGGCCCAGCCACAGUUCCCACUACGCAUCCUAAUUGAGACCAAGACACCCCCGCAGGAAGGAACAACUGGGCUAAAUUUCUUGAGGCUCUUGGAGGAAUGAGAAAGGGAAUAACUAAGGCAGUAAAUUAUGAUAAAGUAAGGCAGAUUACACAAGGCAGGGAGGAAAACCCAGCUGUGUUUUACGGCAGGCUGCGGGAAGCCUUUAAAAAAUAUAUACUAAUUUGGUCCCUUCCUCUCCUGAAGGCAAGUUAUUAAUGGCACAACGUUUCAUUAGCCAAUCCACACCAGACAUUAGACGUAAGCUCCAAAAGCUACACAUGGGGCCACAAACUAACCAAAAUCAGCUUCUUGGUACUGCCUUCAUGGUGUAUAACAAUCGUGACCUGGAGGAAGGAGAAGGGAAACAGAGUAAAGAAAAACGGCAAGCCAAAAUUAUGUUAGCCAUCACUGGUGAUGCCCUAAAUGCACAAAGAUUGUCCAAGGGAAACUCAAAGGGCCAUAAGGAUAAUGCCAGCAAAGGCUCUUGCUUCAAAUGCAAUAAAAGUGCGAUUGGGCACAGGAAUCCACUAAGCCCCCGCCAGUCCCCUGCCGUCAAUGUAAAAGCACCAGUUGUGGCUCCUGGCCCUGGAGAAUUGACUGUCCCUGCUCCCACCAAGGGGCUCAGUCAGUCAAAACUCUGGCAGUGCACAAGGAGGAAUCAGAUGAAGACUGAAGGGGCCUGGGGCCUUCCUCACUGCCCCGUCUAGGAACAUUGUAAUUACUACUGAGGAACCCUGGGUAACUCUGGACAUCAUGGCCACCCAAAUUCAGUUUUUAUGUGAUACCAAGGUGAAUUAUUCUGUACAACUGCUUAUGCAGGAAAACUUUCCUCCCGGUCCAUGAGUGAUAUUGGAUGGAAGGGAAGCCACAAACAAGAUUCUUACUCCUCCUUUGGUUUGUCAAUUUGAGAAACAAAUCUUCCAACAGGAAUUUUUAGUAGUACCAAGCUGCCCAAUUCCCCUGUGGGAAAGAGAUAUUAUGGUGAAAAUAGUGACACUACUGCAAUUUAAGCAAUAUUAGCAGGUGAAACUGCUAAUAGUAAGAAAUAAGGCAAUGUCCCAGACCAUGUCAAUAAACAGGUUAACCCACUGGCAUGGUAUACUGGAAACCCAGGGAAGGCUAAAACAGCAGUGCCAGUCAAAAUACAGCUUAAAGACCCCAGCCAUUUUCCCAAUGGAAAACAAUACCCAGUUGAACAGGAAGCAAGCAAAGGUCUAGCUCCCAUAGUUGAGAUAUUACUUACCCAUGGACUCUUAAAACCCUGCAAUUCUCCCUGCAAUACCCCCAUCUUACCUGUUCUCAAGCCUGGGGGGAAUACCAGCUAGUACAGAACCUCAGAAUAAUGAAUGAGGCUGUUAUCCCCGUCCACCCAUUGGUGGCAGAUCCAUAUGCCCUCCUGGCUCAGGUGCCAGGGCAUGCAAAAUGGUUCUCAGUCCUAGACCUUUCUUCUCCAUUCCUCUGGCCCCGAGCCCCCCAGUACCUUUUUGCUUUCGAAUGGGAAAAUCCUAAUACCAGAUAAAAACAAUACACUUGGACAGUGCUUCCUCAGGGCUUUCGGGAUAGCCCCCACUUCUUUGCCUGAGCAUUAGAGCGGGAUCUGAGGGAUUUCAAGUUAGAAAAUGGAGGUAUUCUUCAGUAUGGGGAUGACCUUGUGUGUAGCCCAACCUAGGAGGUUUCUGACCAAAAUACUAUAAAAACUUUGAAUUUCCUGGCAGACAGAGGAUACAAAGUGUCCAAAAAGAAGGCUCAGAUUACCCUCCAAUGGGUCCACUAUUUAGGAUAUGUCUUAACACCCGGAACCCGGCAAAUAUCCCCAGAAGGAGUGCAAGCUAUAUGUGGUUUGGCCGCGUGCACCACCCCCAGCCCCCACCCUGACCCACCUCCAAGCAGCAGCUUUGUUCCUUUUUGGGGAUGGCCGGGCUUUGGAGAAUAUGAGUACCAAAUUUUGGGCUCAUAGCAAAGCCCCUAUAUGAAGCAACAAGGGGGCCUGAAAAUGAGCUAAUGGAAUGGACCCCGGAAAUGAGGAAAGCCUUUGCCAAGUUAAAACAGGUUCUCACCCAGGCUCCUGCUCUUGGUAUCCCAGACCUAAUUAAGGCCUUCUCCUUGUAUGUAGCAGAGAAGAGGGGCAUAGCUGUGGGAGUGCUAGCCCAGAAAUUAGGAUCAGAACCCAGACCAACCGCCUACUUCUCAAAAAAGUUGGACGGAGUGGCCUCAGGAUGGCCAAGUUGCCUGCGGGCAAUAGCAGCCACUGCUGUUAGUGGAGGAAGCCACUAAAAUCACCCUAGGGCAACCACUGGAAGUUCUAACGCUCCAUCAGGUAAAGUUAGUCUUAGAAAUAAAGGGACACAUCUGGAUGACAGGGGAAAUGUUAACUAAAUACCAGCCCAUGCUCCUAGACAAUCCAGAUAUAACUCUUAAAACCUGCAACACUUUAAAUCCAGCUUCAUUGCUGCCCACAGGCCCAAUAAUUGAUCAUUCCUGUGAGCAGGUCAUUGCACAUACAUAUGUUAGCCAGCCUGAUUUAAAAGAUGAGGCUCUCCCAGAUUCUGAAGCUGACCGGCUCACAGACGGCAGUAGUUCUUUGUCGAAUGGGGAGCACAGAGCUGGAUAUGCAGCAGUAAAUCAUGACACAAUUAUUGAAGCCCAGCCAGUGCCCCCUGGCACAUCAGCACAAAAGGCUAAAAUCAUUGAUCUUACUCAAGCAUUAAUGUUGGGACAAGGGAAAAAACUUAACAUCUAUACAGAUUCUAAAUAUGCAUUCCUUGUGGUUCAUGCUCAUACCGCCAUCAGGAAAGAAAGGGGAUUACUUACUAGCAAGCACUCCCCUAUAGAGCAUGGACCUGAAAUUCUGCAGCUAUUGAAGGCAAUACACCUGCCAAAGGCCAUAGCUAUCAUUCAUUGUAGGGGGCAUCAAAGGGACUUAACCCCUAUAGCACAAGGGAAUGGAAAGGCUGACGGAAGCCAAAGCAAAAGCCCUCAGCGUGCAAUCCCAACAGAUCCUAGCACUGCUUCCUUUCUACAAUUCCCCAGUAGAACCCAAAUACACACCACAGGAAGAACAGCUAAUAAAAAAAGCAAGGGAGACAAAAACAAGGAUCCUGGUGGCAUAUGGAGCCAAAAAUAUAUCUCCCUCAGGCAGCCCAGUGGAGAGUUAUAAAAGCCCUGCAUGACUCUUUCCAUGUGGGGAGGGAUGCGGCUCUGGCCAUGGUAAACAAGUUCUUUACUGGGUUUAACUCAGCUUCAAUGGCUAAGCAGGUCUGUCAAGCCUGCUCACUGUGUGCAUUUAACAAUCCAGGCAUCAAAAUGCCCCCUCUAAUAAAACCAGUCCAAAGGAGGGGAACUUAUCCAGGGGAAGACUGGCAGUUAGACGUCAUCCAUAUGCCAGCUUGCAGAGGAUACAAGCUUUUGUUAAUACUAAUAGAUACUUUUAGGUUGGGUCAAAGGUUACCCCAGAAAAGGCUAAUGAGGUUCUAAGGUCCUCUUAAAAGAAAUAAUUCCCCAGUUUGGGUUACCUCAGGGUCUCCAAAGUGAUAAUGGCUAAUCCUUUAUCUCCCAAAUAACUCAAGGGGUUGCUAAGGCUCUUGGAAUAAAAUACUAUUUACAUUCAGCCUGGAGGCCCCAAUCCUCUGGAAAAGUGGAAAGGGUUAACCAAACUCUAAAAUAAGCACUAGCUAAACUAUGUCAGGAAACAUCAGAAACUUGGGUUAGCUUAUUGCUCACAGCCCUUUUAAGAAUUUGUAAUACCCCUAGCUCAAAAAUUAACAGAAGCCCAUAUAAAAUGUUAUACAGAAGGCCAUUCUUAACUAAUGAUUUAAUUAUUGACCCAGAAAGAGUUGGUGUAAUUAAAUACCUAGUCAACCCAGAACAAUUCCAGCGGGUUUACAAGAGUUUGGAAUUCAAAGGCUCCUCACACUUGGAACUAACCAGCAACCCAAAAUCAGGCCAGGAGAUAGGGUACUUGUUAAAACAUGGAAUGAGGGAUCACCUGCCCAACAAUUACAACCCCAAUAGAAGGGACUUUUUUCAGUAAUACUGGCCACGUCUUCUGUGGUCAAAGUACUAGUAUUAGAUAGCUGGAUACAUCUUUCAAGGAUCAAACCAUCAAUACCAGAAGCUCCAGACCAGGAACCUGAAGUUCCCAUCAGCCAGUACACCUGUGAACCAGUGGAGGACCUGAAGUACCUGUUUAAAAGAUAGCCAAAAGAUAAGUAAAUGCCUACCAACUUUCUUUGGUGUCUUUGUUGCAUAGUUACUGUGGGCUGGAAAAUAGUAGCCAUUUUUAUCUUUGCAGUUUAAUUGCCUUCUUCCAAAUAGAUAAAAAUCACUUCCUUUGUAAUAAUUAAACAGAAUUUAAAAAAUACAUUUCUAUGACAAAUAUUCCUGAUGGCAUAAGUAUCCACCCCAAGGUUCCCAUUAAAUCUUUUAACCUAAAGUAUUUCCUCUCACCUAGAGAUCAUCGAGCUGUGUGACAAGGGUGCCAGCCACUCCAGGUGAAGACACCACCCCAGGCCAUCAAGGAUCUUCCCUACCUUCACUAAACAGAGCAGGGUGAAAGUUGUGUGAUCCCCAAUAGGUAGGGACUACACCCCAAGUCAGCAGGAAGCAGUUACAGAAGAAAGACCAUUGGUCCCUCUGCUUCCCAUAAAGAUUUAUGGGGAUCACAGCUUUCACGGGGGAGAUGAGGCAAGAGAAUAGGGCAUGCAGGCAGGGUACUUGAGGCCAAUCCACGCUGACUUCCUAGAACUGAAUUAAAUGAAAGCUCCUCAGCAAUGACAGGAAUGUGAAUGGCUUUGUAACUUCUUCCUCUCCAUUAAUGCUAUUUCCACUUUGUAACUUCACUUUCAUCCUCUCCAUUUACAUAGAUCACACACCAAGUAACAUCCUCUCCAUUUACAGUAGGGCGCAUUCCGAGUCAAUGACUCUGACUGCACUUCGUUCUCCUCAUUUACAUAGAACAUUCGCCAAGUAACCAAUGGGAAACCUCUAGAGUAUUGAAACUCCAGAAAAUUCCGUAAGUGGGGCUCUUGAGCGUCUACACUCGGGUCGCUCCCACACUGUGGCGUGUACUUUUAUUCUCAAUAAAUUCCCGCUUUUGCUUUC
rnacentral:lncRNA from 1 species